GACUGAUUUAGGGCUCUCCGCCUUAGGAGCCUGGCGGGUGGGGGGAGGGGUGACAAAGCAUAAGGAACCCACUGGGGUCAUUUUUAGAUUCCACGUUGAAAUGGGAGAAGUUUGCUACAAAGGGAGCUGAGGCUGCCGGUGCUUAACUCCCAUCGGAGCAAAACACCUCAAUGCCCUUAGUUCUGAGAACACCUGAGGGGAGAGUAGAGCAGCAACCUGAACUUUUAAUCCUAGCUCACUUGGUUCCGUAGCUGUAAGGCAUGAAGGACGUGUAGGCACAACUAAAGGUUUUCAGUCCUAAAUGUCAAGGCUAAGUUCCCUAAGAUUAUCAGAGAUCAAGGUUUUUUUUUAAUUUUUAUGUAAGGAGUGCAUCUGUGUCAUCAUCAUGGUCCUGUUAUGCCCCUGGUAUACAAAGCUCCUCCGCUCCUGUCUGUUUCUGGCAAGUCUUUCAGUGGUUCCCCAGCUGUGCCCCAGGUUUUUCAGCUUGGCUUCCACAGCUCUUUGCCAUGUUGUUUUUGGAUGGCCUUGCUUUUGCUUGCCUUCAGGUGUACAUCUUAUUGCUACUCUGGUGAUGGAAUUAGUUUCCUUCCGAAGCCCAUGAACAAGGAACCAUCUACAAAAUGAUGUGGCUUAUCAGUGGUAAAUGGCAGACACCAAUAAACACUCUCAUCAGGAACAAACAAGGCCACCCACUAACAACUGAGAAAGAACAAGAAGUGCACUGGACAGAGCAUUUCAAAGAAUUGCUGACCAGGGAGCCACCUAAAGAGGAAGCAAACAUCUAGGAGGCAGAAGAAGAUCCUAAUAUCAACAGAGACAUCCCAACUAAGGAAGAGAUCAUUCAAGCCAUCAUAGCCUUAAAAAAUGGGAAAGCUCCUAGCAAGGAUAAUUUGAAUGCAGAAUUGUUCAAGCAGUCCUUUUCAAACAGAAGUGUCGUCACUCUUGCUCACAGCCACAUCAGCUUGUAACUUCAGGCAAACAGCAGUAGUUAAGGAAUUCUUGAAGCAGAUCCUUGCUGUAUUAGCCAUUAUCUGAUUAUUGGAGUAAUUUUUAUUGAAAAUAUAAGAUCUACAAAGCCAUGGAUACCCAGCGUGGAAGAACUCAUUAAAUUAGCACAUUCAUCUUUAAAAGGAGAACUUCAGAUCAACAUAAGGUACAACAAUGUUGGAUUUAAAAUCUCUACUCCCCUUCUGUGAGUUUCAAAUCUCUUUUUAUUAGGAGGUUCUGUGCAAGAGCUGCUUGUCACAAAAGGAAACACUUUACAAUUUAUGAAUGUGUUCAUUAUAUAAUAAAUGAACAGCAACAAUAUACUAGCCUUUCCCCCCCGUUAACAGUCGUGUGUUAAAGUAAACACUUAAUUUUUCCAGAUUUGGAAAUUAGUUACAUAUGCACCAAAGGAGCUAGUAAUUUUUGCUGCUUGUCAGCUACACACAAUGAGUAUAUUGCUGUGUGUUUUCCCCAACAAUGAGGAUUUUAGUAAUAUGCAAAGGUGUAUAACAUAAUACCAAAACCUGCAUUACAGAAAAGGUUAAUUGUUGUUUUUUAUUAUUCAGCUGCCAGAGUUUAUAACCUUAGGCCCCCUCCCCAAAGCCAAAGUACGGAUGGCCAUAAAUUAGGUUAUGUAACCUUAAAGUAUACAUUUUCCUUGUUGGCAAGUUCCAAGCAGUAAGCGAGAGUGCAAACAAGGAUUGUAAGCUGCCACAAAAUGUAUUCAUAUUUCUACUCUCUGUUGUAAAAGCCAAAGGGAGGGCACAUAUGUCUAAUGUUGAAAGAACAACUGAAUCUUUGUUUUGAUCAUUAUGGUCAGUAUGUCAUGAGUUUUUUAUAUUUGAAUAUUAAAAUGGUACCACAGUUAGACAUCCUAUAGCAUUAUACAAUACAUUUGUCUCCAUAGCCAUUUAAUAUUGGUCUCACAGAGACCCUGGUUCAAAAAGCUAACAAAAUGUAGAUCUCUGUGCUGAAGAAUCAAAGGGAGGGCCUCUAUGAAGUAUAAUGUAAUUAAUGGUUAACCCUCUCACCAAAACCUAAUUUUAUAAUUGUACUAAAAAGACACACUGAUUGGAUGUGAGAGAAUUUAUAACUCUCAGUGCUUCAUUUGUAAUAAGAUGGACAACUGACCAUUCAAACAGAGGGUCUUGAAAGAAACAAAGCUUAGUUGCCUUUAAACAAUGAAAAAGGAGAGACAUACAUAAAUGGUCACCAAGGCACAAUAUGACAAGGGUGAAGAGUCCCUGAGACUCUGGUUUGGGUCUGUACCAUUCCCCUCCCUAUACAAGUAAAUGAGAACAUUUAGGAAAAUAUAAUACAAAAUCUCUUACAGGAAAUAUAGACUACACUUGCUAAAAUCACUUCUCUAGAAGUGUUUGUAGCUUUUUUCUUUUUUCUUUUCUUUUUUUUUUCUUUUUUUUUAAAAGACCUUCUUUAUACAGAUAAUGCAAAGACUGGUCCAUUUUUCUUACCCAGCAAGCCAAGCUCUAAUGACUUCACUAAGCCAAAGUUGUAUUAAAAUACAGCUUCGUAGUAUUGCUACAAUUUCGGUAAAUAUGUUGUGAACAGCUUGAUGAGUACUAAAUAAAACUUUGCUGUUUUACAGCAUACACUUUAUUUUUUUGCACUUUAUGUAACAAAAGAAAAUGCAAUUAUAGCGUGCAAAAGAAGAAAAAAUGAUUAAUUAUCCUCUAGCUGAAUACUGUAAUUAUAAGCCAUGCCUUCCAUAAAAAUGUAUUGGUAGCUAUAAAUAGGAAAAAAGAAACAUUAGCAAACAUUCCUUGUAAGGAGAGGU